rnacentral:lncRNA from 1 species
UUUUUUUUUUUUUAAAUUUAGAGACGCCCUUUUAGUAUUUCUUUUAGAGUGGGUUUAGUAUUGCUUGUACUCUUUUAGCUUUUGUUUUAAAUGAUAUUCUUGCUGGGUAGAGUAUUCUAGGCUGCAAAUUUUUUCCUUUCAGCACUUUAAAUGUAUCUUGCCACUCCCUUCUGGCCUGUAGUGUUUCUGUAGAGAAAUCAACUGAUAGCAUUAUGAGGGUACCCUUAUAUUUAAUGCUUUGCCUUUCUCUUGAUGCCUUCCGAAUCCCCUCUUUAACUUUUGCCAUUUUUAUUAUGAUAUGUCUUGGUGUGGACCUCUUUUGAUUCAACUUGUUUGGGGUCACCUGUGCUUCCUAUAUCUUGAUAUCAGUGUCCUUUAGAUUUGGAAAGUUUUCAGCCAUAAUUUCUUCAAAUAUAUUUUCAAUCCCCUUUUUUUUUUUCUUCUUCUGGAAUUCCUAUUAUGUGUAGAUUGGCCCACUUUAUAUUAUCCUAUAGGUCUCUUAUACUGCUUUCAUGUUCUUUCAUUUGGUUUUCUGUCUGCUGUCCUGAUUGGGUGAUUUCCUUUAUUUUAUCUUCCAAGCCACUAAUUCAUUCCUCUGCAUUAUUCAUUCUGGUCUUUAUUGCCUUUAGCCCAGUUUGUGUCUCUGCAAAUGAAUUUUCUAGUUUUUCUAUGUUCCUCCUUAUAUUUUCUAGUUCCUUUCUAAAGGAAUCUGCAUUAUUGUUCACAUCCUCUCUUAACUCCUUCAGUAUUUUCACCAUCUCCCUUUUGAACUCAAGUCUGUCAGACUGCAGAGGUCUGUUUCAUUUUUGACUGCUUUAGGUGAAUUCGCCUGUUGAUUUAACUGGCAAUGGUUUCUGAGCUUCUUCAUCUUGCUUGUGUUUUUCUUUUUUUGUGAGUUUGAGGAAGCCAAACUGUAGUCUUGUAAGUCUACUUCUAUGCAAGAAUACUCCUUUGUAUUUUUUGGGGGGUUACUAUUUAUUUUGGUGUAGGAGUUUGAAUAUUUGCUAUCUCUUUCUUCUUUGUGAGCAGGCAGUGAUCCCCUGGAUGCUCAGUGUGUUUUCAGGGAGAAGGAGGCAAUGGGUAGGUCCAGCAUUCAGUGCCUGGUUGUAGGACUGUCAACAGCAGCAAGGACCUGAGGGAAAGUGGCACAGGCUAUUCCUAGUUGCAGGGCCCUGGGAAGUGGUAAUGAGCUCUAGGCAGAUUUACAAGGUGACCAGAGCAUUUGGCAGUAGCAGCAGCAGAGUGCGUGAGUUUCCAGGGAAAUGAGAGCGACAAAAGCUUGUGUUUGAUUGCAAGGCUCUCCUCUGAGGCGGUUGGAAGAGCAGGUGGUGCCUUUCAGGAACGCUUGGUGGGAGCAGGCCAUGAACAUCUCUGGAUGUUAACUGAUAACUGUGGUGAUGUUAAGUGAUAACUGUGGUGGUUUGCCCUUGCUAUCUGUAGACUAUGCAUGAAGCACCUUGUCUCACUUAGCCCAUAUAGGAGGUACUGUACAGUCUGCUCCUAGUUGAGGAUCCUGGAAGUGACAGAGAUCAGGCAUGUGGUUACCUCUCAGAGAAUUUGGCAGUGGCAGCAUCAGGGCAGGUGUGUUCCCAAGGGUGCGAGAGCACCAACAGGUGAUAUUUAGUCACAAUGCCCUCCUCUGUGGUAUCUUUGAGGUGAAUGGGGCUGCAAGUGGUAUCUGUUCACAGACCCUUAGUGGUGGCAAGCCACUCCCACCUCUGGAGCCAGAGAUAACUGCAGUGGUUUGCCCCCCCUCUCCUGUAGACCAUGCCCAGAAACACCUCAUCCUGCUUAGCCCCCACAAAAGGUGCUGCCCAAGUUGCUCCUAGUUGCAGGUUCCUGGGAAGGGACAGUGAUCAAGCAUCUGGGCACUUCCCAGAGUGUUUGGUAGUGGCAGCAGCAGGGCAGGUGUGCUCCCAGGGGAGCAAGAGCAACAGCAAGUGGUAUUCCGUCACAAUGUCCUUUAUGGUGCCCUCUGAGGUGGUUGGGGCUGCAAUUGAUUUUUGUUCAGGUAUCCCCAGUGGUGGUGGGCCAUGUCCACCUCUGGAAUCAGGGAAAACUGUGGUGCUUUGCCCCCACCACCUGCAGACUAUGCAAGAAGCACCCUGUCCCAUUUAGCCCAUGCAGGAGGUGCUGCACCAGCUGCCCCUAGUUAUAGGGUCUUGAGAAGGGACAGUGACCAAGUGUCUGGGUGCUGCCCAGAGUGUUUGACAGUGGCAGCUACAGGGCGGGUAUGUUCCCAGGGGAGUGAGAGCAACAGCAUGUGUUGCUUGGUUGCAAUGCCCUCUUUUUUUUUGCCAACCCCUGAGGUGGCUAGGAUUGCAGGUGGAGCCCACUCACAGGCCCCUAGUGGUGGCAAGCCAUGCCUCCCUCUGGCUUCUGAGAUGACUGCUGCAGUCUCCGUGCUACCUGUAGAUCAUGCAAGAGGCACCAUGUCGCACUUAGCCCCCUGAUGCCCUUAGCCCACACAAGAAGUGCCUGGCCACUGGUAGCAUGAACAGGAAGUGCCCAGUUUCCCCUAAAUGAACAAGAGGCUUCUCUCCACCUGUAGCCUGUGCCAGAGCCACCCUGCCCUCUGAGAGCCUGUAGGCAUGCAUGAACUCCAGUGCAGGGAGUUUCCUAUGGCCGUCCGCCCCUCCUCCUCUUCCCUCCCUGACAAUGGUGCCUUGCCUCUCCUGUGGGUCUGGACCUUCUCCCAGGUUCCCUCUGCCAUGGCAUUCCCCUACUCAGCCCAUGGCAUACCAAUCCCCUGCCUGUGGUGCACUACUCCUUAGCCCCUCAUGCUGUCCUCAUAUAGCCAUCCCCAGUCCUCUCCCUGGGACUGACCUCUGGAGCCUAAGUCUCAGCUCCCAGCCCCCACCUGAGCAUCUCAGGCUGUGGUGUCCAGGCCAGUGUUUCAGAUUAUGUGUGCAGUUCUUAUUCUGCUUUGCUGUUCUCAGUCCAGCUGCUGUGCUUUUCUUGGAGACUUUGAGGUCCCUCCAACUUGGUUGAUCUUUCCAUCAUUUAGGUGGCUUCCCAGGAUGUGGGUUUCUUUUCUCCUUUACAGGUCCCUCUCAGGAAUGCUAGUCCUGUCCUUAUUCCUUUUUUUUUCUUGGUUUUUGUCUUUUGUUCUACCCAGUUAUCUCAGGAGUUUCUUGCCCUUUUUGGAGGUUUAAGUUCUUCUGCCAGCAUCUGUAUGAGCUGUUUUACAUGUAGAUGUGUUUUUUUGAUGUGUUUGUGAGAGAAGGUGGUAUGACCUCUUACUCCUCUGCCAUCUUGCUCCUGAGAUUUGUUUUGUGACCCAGCAUAUGAUCUAUCCUAGAGAAUAUUCCAUGGACAAUUCAAAAAAAACGUGUAUUCCACCUGCUUUUAAAUGAAACAUUCUCUCUCUAUAUAAAAGUAAAUGGGAUGUUUAAACCCCCUGUUAUUAUCAUGUUACUGUCAAAUUCUCUCUUUAUGUUUUUUAAUAUAUGCUAUAUGUGUUUAGUGUUCCUAUGUGGGGUGCAUAUAUAUUCUUCAGCUUUAUUUGUAUUUAUAUUCCUAUUUAAUGGUUCCUAUUUAUAUUUUUACUCUGUUGAAAUUCUCAUGUGAAUAGCCAUGCAUCUCCCAGGUGGUCAAGUAUCUUUAUGAUUAUUAGCUUGAAUUAUUGAUCACAUAGAUUUCUUAUUUAUACUUCAUUUAGUUCUUUUCUUGAGCUUAUGUCUCAUUCCUUCAUUUGGAACAAUUUCCUCUUUUUACCUAAUUCUCUGUGUUUAUUUCUUUGUAUUAAGUAGGUCUGCUGUUUUUCCCAGUUCUGGAUAAGUGGCCUUAUUGCGGUGAUGUUCCAUGGGAUCCAGCAGCACACUCUCUGGUCACAGAGCUAUAUACUCUAGGGGUUCCCCUUAGGUGAGCUGUGUGGACCCUUUCAUUUUGGCAGGUCUAAUUACUGUGAGGGUGCUAGUAAGGAUGUUUUGCUGAAAAGCUAUGCCUCAUGUGAUGGUUGCUAUUCCCUGGUGGGCCUGGCUGGGUCUUUGGGCAGCAAGCUGCAGGGUCCUGCAGGCCCUGAGUUUGUGCCACCCAUUGGUGCAUUGGGCUGUGUCCUGAGGUGGCUAGCUGCAGGAGUUUGGGGAAUUGUAGGAUUGGUGCCCACUUAUGGUGGAUGGGUAAGCCUUCAGCACUAAUAGAUUAGAGGGAAGUCUCCUGGUAGAAAGAACUCCCCCAAAAGGCUGCUGCUGCAUCUAUAUCUCCAGAGAUAUUCCCAGUUGCUCCCUGCCUCUCUGGUGGGCUCUCUAAGAUCAGAAAGUAGCUUGAACGCAUGUUUUCUUUUAAAACUACUGCCUCUGUACUAGGACUCAGAAUGUCUGAGAUUUUGUGUGUCCCCUUUAAAAGCAGUCUUAUUUUCCUACAGCCCUAUAGCACUUUCAUUCACAAGCCCCACUUGCCUUCAAAUCCAGAUAUUUUGGGGGCUCAUAUUCCCAGUGCAGGACCCCAGGCUGGAGAGAUGGGUGUGGGGCUUGUACCCCUCACUCCUUGGGGAGAACUUCUGCAAUUGUGAUUAUCUUUCCAUUUGUGAGUCUCUUACUUGGAGAUGUGGAUCUUGACUAUAAUAUAUCUCCACUCCUCUUACCAAUCUUGUUGUGGUUCCAUCUUUAUAUCUCUAGUUGUAAAAUACCUUUUCUGCUAGUUUUCAUGUCACUCUCAUAGAUAGUUACUUUGUAAAUAAUUGCAAUUUUGGUAUGCUCAUGGGAGGAAGUGAGCUCAGAGUAGUCCUACCAUACUAUCUUGGCCACCCACUGAACAUAUAUUUUAGAGGUGUAUUGAACUUCUAAAAUAAUAAGGCUGGAAGCAAUAUGUCUUGUUUUCACAAUGUUUAGAAAAACUUGCAAAUCAUAGUGACACAGAUUGUCUUCCUAUUUUUUUAGCCCUGGAACUUGCAAAGGUGCCCAGAGUCUAAUAAGUGAUAGGUGAAUCUCAUAUAUGUAAUAAACAUAUAACUACAUAAAUAAAUAAUAGAUGUAUACAUAUAUAGUUUUGCUACUGACUUUCGUGAGAGAUGCUUGUGUAUAGAGAGAUACAUGUUGACAGUUUUUAAAAUGCUUUAUAAAGGAUCUACUUAAAUAUAAUAAAUUGCUAUUAUUUUAGUGACAAAUACUUCCCUAUAAGUAAAGGGUAUAUCAGAAUUUCUAUUGGAAGCCUUCAUUUUAAGGCUGUGUAACUC